AAAUUGAAGAGUUUGAUCAUGGCUCAGAUUGAACGCUGGCGGCAGGCCUAACACAUGCAAGUCGAACGGUAACAGGAAGCAGCUUGCUGCUUCGCUGACGAGUGGCGGACGGGUGAGUAAUGUCUGGGAAACUGCCUGAUGGAGGGGGAUAACUACUGGAAACGGUAGCUAAUACCGCAUAACGUCGCAAGACCAAAGAGGGGGACCUUAGGGCCUCUUGCCAUCAGAUGUGCCCAGAUGGGAUUAGCUUGUUGGUGGGGUAACGGCUCACCAAGGCGACGAUCCCUAGCUGGUCUGAGAGGAUGACCAGCCACACUGGAACUGAGACACGGUCCAGACUCCUACGGGAGGCAGCAGUGGGGAAUAUUGCACAAUGGGCGCAAGCCUGAUGCAGCCAUGCCGCGUGUAUGAAGAAGGCCUUCGGGUUGUAAAGUACUUUCAGCGGGGAGGAAGGUGUUGUGGUUAAUAACCGCAGCAAUUGACGUUACCCGCAGAAGAAGCACCGGCUAACUCCGUGCCAGCAGCCGCGGUAAUACGGAGGGUGCAAGCGUUAAUCGGAAUUACUGGGCGUAAAGCGCACGCAGGCGGUCUGUUAAGUCAGAUGUGAAAUCCCCGGGCUCAACCUGGGAACUGCAUCUGAUACUGGCAGGCUUGAGUCUCGUAGAGGGGGGUAGAAUUCCAGGUGUAGCGGUGAAAUGCGUAGAGAUCUGGAGGAAUACCGGUGGCGAAGGCGGCCCCCUGGACGAAGACUGACGCUCAGGUGCGAAAGCGUGGGGAGCAAACAGGAUUAGAUACCCUGGUAGUCCACGCCGUAAACGAUGUCGACUUGGAGGUUGUGCCCUUGAGGCGUGGCUUCCGGAGCUAACGCGUUAAGUCGACCGCCUGGGGAGUACGGCCGCAAGGUUAAAACUCAAAUGAAUUGACGGGGGCCCGCACAAGCGGUGGAGCAUGUGGUUUAAUUCGAUGCAACGCGAAGAACCUUACCUGGUCUUGACAUCCACGGAAGUUUUCAGAGAUGAGAAUGUGCCUUCGGGAACCGUGAGACAGGUGCUGCAUGGCUGUCGUCAGCUCGUGUUGUGAAAUGUUGGGUUAAGUCCCGCAACGAGCGCAACCCUUAUCCUUUGUUGCCAGCGGUUAGGCCGGGAACUCAAAGGAGACUGCCAGUGAUAAACUGGAGGAAGGUGGGGAUGACGUCAAGUCAUCAUGGCCCUUACGACCAGGGCUACACACGUGCUACAAUGGCAUAUACAAAGAGAAGCGACCUCGCGAGAGCAAGCGGACCUCAUAAAGUAUGUCGUAGUCCGGAUUGGAGUCUGCAACUCGACUCCAUGAAGUCGGAAUCGCUAGUAAUCGUGGAUCAGAAUGCCACGGUGAAUACGUUCCCGGGCCUUGUACACACCGCCCGUCACACCAUGGGAGUGGGUUGCAAAAGAAGUAGGUAGCUUAACCUUCGGGAGGGCGCUUACCACUUUGUGAUUCAUGACUGGGGUGAAGUCGUAACAAGGUAACCGUAGGGGAACCUGCGGUUGGAUCACCUCCUUACCUUAAAGAA
rnacentral:rRNA from 1 species